AAAGGGUGUGUAGGAGGUCGGGUAAGUCGUGUGUGAAAUCUCAGAGCUUAACUCUGAAACUGCGCUCGAUACUGCCCGGCUAGAGGAUCGGAGGGGGUAACGGAAUUCAUGGUGUAGCAGUGAAAUGCGUAGAUAUCAUGAGGAACACCGGUGGCGAAGGCGGUUACCUGGAAGAUUCCUGACUCUGAAACACGAAAGCCAGGGGAGCAAACGGGAUUAGAUACCCGGGU
rnacentral:rRNA from 1 species